rnacentral:rRNA from 1 species
AGCGAACGCUGGCGGCGUGCCUAACACAUGCAAGUCGAGCGAAGGCAUGAGUGUAGCAAUACACUUAUGUACUUAGCGGCGGACGGGUGAGUAACACGUGGAUAAUCUGCCCUGGGGACCGGGACAACUCUUGGAAACGGGAGCUAAUACCGGAUGUGACCACGAUGCUUGAGGGCAUUGGGGUAAAAGGGUGGCCUGCAA